rnacentral:rRNA from 1 species
UACGUAGGGGGCAAGCGUUGUCCGGAUUUAUUGGGCGUAAAGAGCUCGUAGGUGGUUCGGUAAGUCGGAUGUGAAAUCUCCAGGCUCAACCUGGAGGGGUCAUUCGAUACUGCCGUGAUUGAGGACUGGAGAGGAGACUGGAAUUUACGGUGUAGCGGUGAAAUGCGUAGAUAUCGUAAGGAAGACCAGUGGCGAAGGCGGGUCUCUGGACAGUUCCUGACGCUGAGGCACGAAGGCCAGGGGGAGCAAACGGGG